rnacentral:rRNA from 1 species
AAGGGCACCACAAGAUUGCGUGGAGCAUGUGGCUUAAUUUGACUCAACGCGGGGAAUCUUACCGGGUCCGGACACACUGAGGAUUGACAGGCGCAAGGAGCUUCGGCUCUGUAAAUUUGCUAGUCCUUUCAUGAUUGUGUGAUAGGUGGUGCAUGGCCGUUCUUAGUUCGUGGAAUAAUCUGUCUGCUUAAUUGCGUUUUUUCAAUUGUGCCUUGAUUCCCAACAUACCUUCUGUGUAUGUGUGAGUAAGUUCGCUUUUACGUGUUCUUGCUCCGCAUGCCAGUUAGGUGGGAUUUCAGGGCCUUCUGGAACGAACGAGACCCCAACCCUUCUUUUUCAGUGUCAUACAACGAAUUGUUGUUACUUUUUGUCUUUCGGUUGUGGGGCCAUUCAUUUGGUUCUUGCGCUGAUUGGCAUUUUACGACGCUGUUAACAGAAGGGGACUGUUACAUCCUAAUGUAAAGGAAGGUUGGGGCAAUAACAGGUCUGUGAUGCCCUUAGAUGUUCCGGGCUGCACACGUGCUACAAUGAUCUAUGCACUAAGCAUCUUUUAGUUCCGUAAUGUGCGUUCCUCUUCGAGGUUCGACACGUAUGCGGCAUGCCUACUUCGAGAGCUAGUAGGUAAUCACUUGGUAAUAUAGAUUUCCUUUGCAUUGCGACAUCAGGGCUACUUGUAGUUUCUGGUGUCGUGUGUCUUCAAAUUAUGACUUCUUAGUGGGGACAGACCAUUGUUAAUUGUUGGUCUCGCUUUAACUAGGAAUGCCUUGUACAGGUGGUUCAACAGACCGCCUGGAAUACGUCCCUGCCCUUUGUACACACCGCCCGUCGCUCUUACCGAUGGACUACUCCAUGAGUCUGAGGGACUCGUCUCGUUACGGGAAACUUAGGCGAAUGGCAUGGUCUAGAGGAAAGAGAAGUCGUAACAAGGCAUCUGUAGGUGAACCUGCAGAAGGAUCA